CCAGUUCUAAGUUGCUGGCUGGGCUUAAACCACAACUGGGGCCUACAAAGAUACCAGAGAGGGACUUUUCAUCAGGGAUGGUAGCAAUAGGACAAUGUUUUUAAACUUAAAAUGUUAAGGUUAGAUUUAAGGAACUAGUUCUUUACUAUGAGGGUCAUGAGGCACUGGAACAGGUUGCCUAAUUAGUGGUAAAUGCUCCAUUCCUGGCAGAGUUCAAGGCCAGGCUGGACAGAGCCUUGGGUGACAUGGUCUAGUGUGAGGAGACCCUACCUGCGGCAGAGGGGUUGGAACUAGAUGACCUUUGAGGUCCUUUCUAACUCUAACCAUUCUGUGAUUAUAUGAUUCUAUGUUUAUAUGAUUUUUGUUAUACCAACAAUUACCAUUUUUGCUACUGUUUUUUGGUUUUUUUUCAGCAGUUCCCGAGCCAUCUGUUCGGAAAUGCUCCAAAGGAAAGAAUGAGCCUGCCAAAAAUAGGAAAUUUUGGACACAAACGGACAUCUACGACAAAUACACUUCAGGAUCCUAUAAUGCACCAACCUGGGGGAAAAGAAAUCCACAGGCAAAAACAUUCUCCAAGACUAAAACAACCAUUCAGAGCCAAGAACACAUGGAAGCGACCCAAAAAGGAAACCGAUAUGAAGACAGAAGGGAGAUGAAACGAGUACUUGAAUUCACAAGAACAGUCUAAACUGAAAUAAGGGAAUUCUCAACUGUAGUUCAAACGAUCAUAAAAUUGUAAAUUUCAAAAAGGCAGCCUGGGGCCUGAAUGGGAUCAGAGCUGCUUGUUAGGGACAUAAGCAUCCACUGCUCUUUCUGCUGUAGCAGUAGACAUCAUGGAAGCAAGAAAAAACAAUGAACCCCAGCAGUGUAAGCAGUUAACACACAGCACCUAAGAGCAGGAAUCAGGUAAUUUCUCAAUUCACUAAAAGGAGUGAAGUAAGAAACGUGGAGCACAAGGACUUGCGUUAAAAGACGCUCAAAGAAUAAUGUUCAUCUUUGUGCUCUCAAGACAACAGGUUCUACACAGGAAGAAGUUGGGUCUUAUUUAAGCACCACAAGAUGGGUUUGUUCCAUUUUACAUUAAAGAAACAUGGGACGGGAGAAUGGAAGACUCUUUGAGAUCGUGUGAUUUUCAAUACUUUGAUGAAACGAG